GUGUGAGUAGAUGUGUCAUCUGU
rnacentral:siRNA from 1 species